rnacentral:rRNA from 1 species
UUAAGCGACUAAGCGUACACGGUGGAUGCCCUGGCAGUCAGAGGCGAUGAAGGACGUGCUAAUCUGCGAAAAGCGCCGGCGAGGUGAUAUGAACCCUUGACCCGGCGAUGUCCGAAUGGGGAAACCCAGUGCAAUCCGUUGCACUAUCGUUAACUGAAUACAUAGGUUAACGAGGCGAACCGGGGGAACUGAAACAUCUAAGUACCCCGAGGAAAAGAAAUCAACCGAGAUUCCCCCAGUAGCGGCGAGCGAACGGGGAGCAGCCCGGAGUCUGAAUCAGCUUGUGUGUUAGUGGAACGGUCUGGAAAGUCCGACGGUACAGGGUGAUAGUCCCGUACACGAAAGCACACUUGCUGUGAACUCGAAGAGUAGGGCGGGACACGUGGUAUCCUGUCUGAAUAUGGGGGGACCAUCCUCCAAGGCUAAAUACUCCUGACUGACCGAUAGUGAACCAGUACCGUGAGGGAAAGGCGAAAAGAACCCCGGCGAGGGGAGUGAAAAAGAACCUGAAACCGUGUACGUACAAGCAGUGGGAGCCUCUUUAUGGGGUGACUGCGUACCUUUUGUAUAAUGGGUCAGCGACUUAUAUUCUGUAGCAAGGUUAACCGUAUAGGGGAGCCGAAGGGAAACCGAGUCUUAACUGGGCGUUAAGUUGCAGGGUAUAGACCCGAAACCCGGUGAUCUAGCCAUGGGCAGGUUGAAGGUUGGGUAACACUAACUGGAGGACCGAACCGACUAAUGUUGAAAAAUUAGCGGAUGACCUGUGGCUGGGGGUGAAAGGCCAAUCAAACCGGGAGAUAGCUGGUUCUCCCCGAAAGCUAUUUAGGUAGCGCCUCGUGAACUCAUCUUCGGGGGUAGAGCACUGUUUCGGCUAGGGGGCCAUCCCGGCUUACCAACCCGAUGCAAACUACGAAUACCGAAGAAUGUUAUCACGGGAGACACACGGCGGGUGCUAACGUCCGUCGUGAAGAGGGAAACAACCCAGACCGCCAGCUAAGGUCCCAAAGUCAUGGUUAAGUGGGAAACGAUGUGGGAAGGCACAGACAGCCAGGAUGUUGGCUUAGAAGCAGCCAUCAUUUAAAGAAAGCGUAAUAGCUCACUGGUCGAGUCGGCCUGCGCGGAAGAUGUAACGGGGCUAAACCAUGCACCGAAGCUGCGGCAGCGACGCUUAUGCGUUGUUGGGUAGGGGAGCGUUCUGUAAGCCGUUGAAGGUGUGCUGUGAGGCAUGCUGGAGGUAUCAGAAGUGCGAAUGCUGACAUAAGUAACGAUAAAGCGGGUGAAAAGCCCGCUCGCCGGAAGACCAAGGGUUCCUGUCCAACGUUAAUCGGGGCAGGGUGAGUCGACCCCUAAGGCGAGGCCGAAAGGCGUAGUCGAUGGGAAACAGGUUAAUAUUCCUGUACUUGGUGUUACUGCGAAGGGGGGACGGAGAAGGCUAUGUCAGCCGGGCGACGGUUGUCCCGGUUUAAGCAUGUAGGCGGAGGUUCCAGGUAAAUCCGGUACCUUAUUAACGCUGAGGUGUGAUGACGAGGCACUACGGUGCUGAAGUGAUAAAUGCCCUGCUUCCAGGAAAAGCCUCUAAGCAUCAGGUAACACGAAAUCGUACCCCAAACCGACACAGGUGGUCAGGUAGAGAAUACCAAGGCGCUUGAGAGAACUCGGGUGAAGGAACUAGGCAAAAUGGUGCCGUAACUUCGGGAGAAGGCACGCUGAUGUGUAGGUGAAGCCCCUGCGGAUGGAGCUGAAAUCAGUCGAAGAUACCAGCUGGCUGCAACUGUUUAUUAAAAACACAGCACUGUGCAAACACGAAAGUGGACGUAUACGGUGUGACGCCUGCCCGGUGCCGGAAGGUUAAUUGAUGGGGUUAGCGGCAACGCGAAGCUCUUGAUCGAAGCCCCGGUAAACGGCGGCCGUAACUAUAACGGUCCUAAGGUAGCGAAAUUCCUUGUCGGGUAAGUUCCGACCUGCACGAAUGGCGUAAUGAUGGCCAGGCUGUCUCCACCCGAGACUCAGUGAAAUUGAACUCGCUGUGAAGAUGCAGUGUACCCGCGGCAAGACGGAAAGACCCCGUGAACCUUUACUAUAGCUUGACACUGAACACUGGUCCUUGAUGUGUAGGAUAGGUGGGAGGCUUUGAAGCGUGGACGCCAGUCUGCGUGGAGCCNNNNNNNNNAUCCGGGUUGCGGACAGUGUCUGGUGGGUAGUUUGACUGGGGCGGUCUCCUCCCAAAGAGUAACGGAGGAGCACGAAGGUUGGCUAAUCCUGGUCGGACAUCAGGAGGUUAGUGCAAUGGCAUAAGCCAGCUUGACUGCGAGCGUGACGGCGCGAGCAGGUGCGAAAGCAGGUCAUAGUGAUCCGGUGGUUCUGAAUGGAAGGGCCAUCGCUCAACGGAUAAAAGGUACUCCGGGGAUAACAGGCUGAUACCGCCCAAGAGUUCAUAUCGACGGCGGUGUUUGGCACCUCGAUGUCGGCUCAUCACAUCCUGGGGCUGAAGUAGGUCCCAAGGGUAUGGCUGUUCGCCAUUUAAAGUGGUACGCGAGCUGGGUUUAGAACGUCGUGAGACAGUUCGGUCCCUAUCUGCCGUGGGCGCUGGAGAAUUGAGGGGGGCUGCUCCUAGUACGAGAGGACCGGAGUGGACGCAUCACUGGUGUUCGGGUUGUCAUGCCAAUGGCACUGCCCGGUAGCUAAAUGCGGAAGAGAUAAGUGCUGAAAGCAUCUAAGCACGAAACUUGCCCCGAGAUGAGUUCUCCCUGAGACUUUAAGUCUCCUGAAGGAACGUUGAAGACGACGACGUUGAUAGGUCGGGUGUGUAAGCGCAGCGAUGCGUUGAGCUAACCGAUACUAAUGAACCGUGAGGCUUAACCUU